rnacentral:rRNA from 1 species
GUUAAGGCCCCAAAAUAAUUGCUUAGUGGUAAAGGAGGUAAGGGUGCUAAAACAGCCAGGAGGUUUGCUUAGAAGCAGCAACCCUUUAAAGAGUGCGUAAUAGCUCACUGGUGGAGCGCUCUCGCGCCUAAAAUUUACGGGGCUAAGUGAUUUGCCGAAACUGUGGGUUUAUGCAAUUUUUUAGCAUAUACGGUAGAGGAGCGUUCCGUAUUAGGGUGAAGCAAAAGUGAAAAUUUUUGUGGACAAAACGGAAGUGAGAAUGUCGGCUUGAGUAACGAAAACAUUGGUGAAGAAUCCAAUGCCCCGAAAACCUAAGGGUUCCUUCACUAGGUUCGUCCAUGGAGGGUUAGUCAGGACCUAAGGUCAGGCCGUUAGGCGUCGCCGAUGGAAAACAGGUCAACAUUCCUGUACUGCUUUUAGUUGGUAACGAGGGACGAGACAAUGAUUUGUCAAUCAGUGUUGGGGUCUGAUUAGAUAAUUUUGUGAAAAAACAGAAAAAAAACUGUUUCUUUAGCAAAAUUGCCGGAAUUAAAAGGUAAAAUCAUUGUUCUCCAAGAAAAGCUUGAACUACCAUAAACUAAUAGUACCUGUACCUGAAACCGACACAGGUAGGUAAGUAGAGAAUACUAAGGGGCGCGAGAUACCUCUCUCU